rnacentral:lncRNA from 1 species
AUGAAAGAUUUUAAUUCAAGGUUUUCAAUAUUAGGAAACAAAAUCUCUCCCCCAAACUACAAAGAAAAAAACUCCAGCAGGUCUCAUAGGUGGAAUCUUAACCUGUGUUUUGGAAACGCCAAUAAAUUAAGCAAACUUCCAGGAGAGGAAGAAAGGAAAAGAAAGAAAAUGAAAACAGACAAUGAGAGAAACGAAAGGGAAGGUAGAAAUCAUGACAGACCGCUGUGUGUGGCUCUAUACCAACUACAUUUUAAAAUCCAGGGGCACCUGGGUGGCUCAGCUGGUUAAGCAUCCAACUCUUGAUUUCGGCUCAGGUCUAUACUGACAGUGCUGAUCGUGCCUGGGAUUCUCUUUCUCUCUGUCUCUCUCUGCCCCUCCCCUGCUCACGGUCUGUCUCUCUCAAAAAAAAUAAACUUAAAACAUCUUUAAUAAAAAACAAAACAAAACCAAAAGACAUAAGCAAUUUGCUAAGAAAUAUAAACGACCAGAAUGGACUUAGGCUGAGGCAGGAAAUCAACAGAUACAAAACCACGGGAGGAACGAGAACCACAGUCGAAGACUUCCAGUAAACAACAGGUGUCAGGGCCCGUGGUCUCGGAAGUCCUAUCAAACUUUUAAGAAAUGGGUAAUCCCCAUGAUUUUUAAACCGUCCAAGCGAGGGUCAUUUCCCAAGUAUUUUACAAAAUGAAUUACAAAAUGAAAACAAGAUGGCACACACACCAAAGAAAAACACCAAGAAAACCCUCAACCGGUCUCCCCGACAGAUACAGACACAAAGGUCUGCAUUAGGAAAGACACAAUAGGGGCGCCUGGGUGACUCAGUCGGUCAAGCGUCCGACUUCGGCUCAGGUCAUGAUCUCACACUCUGUGAGUUCGAGCCCCGCGUCGGGCUCUGUGCUGACAGCUCGGAGCCUGGAGCCGGCUUUGGAUUCUGUCUCCCUCUCUCUCUGCCCUUCCCCUGUCUCACGCUCUCUCUCAAUAAUAAAUAAACGUUAAAAAAAAAUUUAGGAAAGACACAACGGAAUUCCUUGGACAAGGAGCAGACUGCCCUGAAUACCCCACCAGCACGGCCUUCAUGGAGCGCCAACCCUGGGCCACAGGGACCGGAGGGCUUUUGGGAGUUAUGCUGGGGCUCAGCAAACUGAAGUCCAAGGGCUUGGCUCCCCUGCCUGCUUUGCAAAUAAAGCUUUAUUGGAACACAGCCAGGCCCAUUCACGUUCACACAGUCCACACCGCUUUCCAGCUAAGGCACACAACAGCGGGGCUCACGAGCCACGAAAGGACACCCGGCCCUCAAAAUCAAAGGCAGGCCCUGUCUGGUCCUUUCUGGAAGAAGUCUGUUGACCGCUGUUUACGCCACUGACGAAGAACAGACAUUUAAAUGUAAAGAAGAGACCAUCAAAGACCAAGCGACACAAGAAUAAGUGAGUUUAGGGCGCACCACCUCCAUACGACUGAGUCAGAGGCAAGAAGUGUCGACAGAACCACCGGAGGGUUGAAACGGCAGCACAGGAGAGAAGAGUCCCCAAGACACAAGGCAGAGGACCCUGCCGGUGGAGGCACCGGCAUGUGAGCCACCAUCGUUUGCUGAGCGUGCAGACAGCUCAGCCCCGCCAGCAACGUGGAUGCCCAUCAGACUGGGACACACCAUCUGCUGAAAGGCGCGCCUGAUUCCAGAAAGACAAGGGGGAGGCAGUCUCCGACAGGUGAGCGUCCUGCCAGCUGGGCUGACGGUCGCAAGCAGCUUGUGUCGCUGCGGUGAUGCCCUGAGCGUCCGCUGAUGCCGCUAACGUGACUGCACUGGACACUCUUUCGUUUCAGAGAGCGGUUUGGCAACCUGCAGCCAAAAAUGUCCCCGAACAUGCAUGUCUAGUGACUCAGAACCUUCUAGGAAAUCGUUCUGCAGAAAUGAUUGAGAAUUUAUGGAAAGUUUUAGCUACAGGGAUGUUUAUCGUAGCAUUUUUUUUUUUAAUUGGAGAGAACCUAAAUUUCUAACAAUUGGGAGUGAAGUAAACGCUACAUCUGUUGGGAUGACACGGAACACGGAGGGACACGUCUGCAGGGCCACAGCGGGUGGAAACACAGUUACAAAGCUACAAAGCUCAUGUACACGUGGCUGUCUGCAGAAGUGUGCAGGCACACAGGGAGGUCCUGGCUGUAGGAAGAGGGCUUAUUUGUAAAUGGUGCAAUCUCGGAUAUCUUUUUUUUUCUGCUUUAUACUUCCCCAUCCUUCCGGAGGGUUUUUGUUUUUUUUUUUUUUUUUUAGCACGAAUAUGCAUUACUUGCAUAAAAAUACAAGAACCAAAGGGCACCCGGGUGGCUCGGUCAGUUAAGUGUCUGACCUCUGAUUCCAUCUCAGGUCACAAUCUCACAGUUUGUGGGUUCAAGUCCCAGGUCAGGUUCUGAGCACUGACCACGUGGAGCCUGCUUGGAUCCUCUCCCCCUCUCUCUGCCCCUCCUCUGCUCCACUCUGUCUCCCAAAAUAAACUUAAAAACACAAGAACCAAAAGUAAGGUGAGCACAGUGAACCCCCCCACUCCCAUGGGGUCCUUCACGGGGCUCCCCCGCCCCACUGCUCUAGCGGAGCCCAGGGCAGGACAGGGACCUCGGGCGACACUUACUCACGAUCUGUCCGGCUGGCAGCACCUGUUCCCCGGUGUGGUUGGGGGAGGAGGACGCUGCUGAGGGAGGAGACGC